rnacentral:rRNA from 1 species
GAUGAACGCUGGCGGCGUGCCUAAUACAUGCAAGUCGAGCGAACAGACGAGGAGCUUGCUCCUCUGACGUUAGCGGCGGACGGGUGAGUAACACGUGGAUAACCUACCUAUAAGACUGGGAUAAAUUCGGGAAACCGGAGCUAAUUACGGCUUAUAUAUUGAACCGCAUGGUUCAAUAGUUAAAGACGGCUUUGCUGUCACUUAUAGCUGGAUCCGCGCCGCAUUAGCUAGUUGGUAAGGUAACGGCUUACCAAGGCAACGAUGCGUAGCCGACCUGAGAGGGUGAUCGGCCACACUGGAACUGAGACACGGUCCAGACUCCUACGGGAGGCAGCAGUAGGGAAUCUUCCGCAAUGGGCGGAAGCCUGACGGAGCAACGGCGCGUGAGUGAUGAAGGUCUUCGGAUCGUAAAACUCUGUUAUUAGGGAAGAACAAAUGUGUAAGUAACUAUGCACGUCUUGACGGUAACUAAUCAGAAAGCCACGGCUAACUACGUG